rnacentral:rRNA from 1 species
UACGUAGGGUGCAAGCGUUAAUCGGAAUUACUGGGCGUAAAGCGUGCGCAGGCGGCGAUGUAAGACAGUUGUGAAAUCCCCGGGCUCAACCUGGGAACUGCAUCUGUGACUGCAUCGCUGGAGUACGGCAGAGGGGGAUGGAAUUCCUGGUGUAGCAGUGAAAUGCGUAGAUAUCAGGAGGAAUACCGAUGGCGAAGGCAGGUCUCUGGGCUGACACUGACGCUCAUGCACGAAAGCGUGGGGAGCAAACAGG